rnacentral:misc_RNA from 1 species
UAUACUCCUCAACAAAAUGGAGUCAGUGAACGUAAAAAUCGUACAGUGAUGGAGAUGGCCAGGUGUUUGCUUCAUGAAAAAGAGUUGCCAAAAGAAUACUGGGCAGAGGAUGCUAACACUUCUGUGUUUCUGCUAAACAGACUUCCUACAAAGGCAGUUGAUGGGAAGACACCUUUUGAGGCUUGUUAUGGUUACAAACCUUCUUUAAAAAAUUUAAAAGUGUUUGGCUGCUUGUGUUUCACUUAUGUGCCUCAGAUCAAAAGAGACAAGCUCGACAGAAAAGUUGAAGCUGGAAUCUUUGUCGGAUACAGCUCAGUUUCGAAGGCUUAUAGAGUUUUUCAACCUAAUACGAGAAAAAUUCUGAUAAGCAGAGAUGUGCAUUUUAUGGAAGAUGCUAAGUGGAAUUGGAAAGGAGAUCAGGCUGGUACAAUUCCAAGUCAAGAUUCAAAAUUGCUAGAGCUGUCCGAAUCUGAUUUGGUUGAUGAUGAACCUAUUAGAGGUACAAGAUCACUUUCGGAAAUCUAUCAAAAGUGCAACGUUGCAGUUCUGGAACCAGAAAAUUUUCAGGAGGCAAAAAGAGAUCCAAAAUGGGUAGCUGCAAUGAAGGAGGAGUUAAGCAUGAUUGAAAAAAAUAAAAUGUGGCAGCUGGUAAAAAGACCUGAUGAUAGAAAGGUGAUUCGAGUAAAGUGGGUAUUUAGAACAAAGCUCAAUGGAGAUGGCUCUAUAAACAAGCAUAAAGCAAGGCUUGUUGUGAAAGGUUAUGCCCAAAUCCCUGGUGUUGAUUUUUCUGACACAUUUGCUCCUGUUGCCAGAAUUGAAACAAUCAGAUUGCUGUUGGCCAUUGCUGCUCAAAAGGGUUGGAAAGUGUACCAGUUAGAUGUAAAGUCAGCGUUUCUAAAUGGUCUUCUUGAGGAGGAGAUUUACGUUGAACAACCUGAGGGGUUUGUUGUGAAAGAGCAAGAAGAAGAUGUGUAUUUGCUCAAAAAAGCAUUAUACGGCUUGAAACAGGCACCAAGGGCCUGGUAUAGCAGAAUUGAUGAGCAUUUGAUGCAGUUGGGAUUCAAAAAAAGUCUCAAUGAAGCUACCCUCUACAUUAAAGGUGAUGAGAUCAAUUUUAUUGUUGUUUCCCUGUAUGUGGAUGACUUACUUGUUACAGGAAGCAACUUGGAACUUGUAAACAAAUUCAAGAAAGAUAUGCAACAGACAUUUGAGAUGACUGACUUGGGAGAAAUGGCAUAUUUUCUUGGAAUGGAGGUUCAAUAAAAGGAGAAAGAGGUGUUCAUUUGCCAAACCAAAUAUGCCAAAGAAAUUCUGAAGAAAUUCAGAAUGGAUGAGUGCAAGAUUGCUACAACUCCUAUGGGUAAAAAUGUAAAGCUCAGCAAGAAAGAUGUAGCGGAAAAGGUUGAUGAAACUCUUUACAGAAGUCUAGUGGGUUGUUUGAUGUACUUAAUAGCCACAAGACCUGACAUCUUACACUCUGUGAGUCUGCUAUCUAGAUUUACGAAUUGUGCUACUGAAACUCAUUUUUCUGCUGCUAAGAGAGUUCUAAGAUAUGUGAAAGGAACAUUGAAGCAUGGAUCAAGUUUUGUGCUAGUCAGAUUCAUGUUCUGCAAGGCUAUUCUGAUAGUGAUCAUGGUGGUUCUGAUGAUAUGAAGAGUACUUCAGGCUAUUGUUUUAAUCUGGGGUCAGGAAUGUUCUCUUGGUGUUGUAAAAAACAAGAAGUUGUUGCACAAUCGACUGCAGAAGCAGAGUUUAUUGCUGCUACAGCUGCUGCAAAUCAAGCUUUAUGGCUCAGAAAGGUGCUAUUUGAUCUGAACCUGAAGCAAAAUGAAGGCACAGAUGUGUUUGUGGAUAAUCAAGCAGCGAUAGCAAUCUCAAACAAUCCCGUUUUUCAUGGAAAAACGAAGCACUUUAAUAUCAAAUUGUUUUUCCUUAGAGAUGUGCAGAAAGAAGGUUCUGUUGUUCUGAAAUAUUGCAAAACUGAUGACAAUGUUGCAGACAUCUUUACCAAACCUUUGGAAAGAAGCAAAUUUGAAUUUCUAAGGGAAAAACUUGGAGUUUGCAGCAUCAAAGCCAAGGAGGAGUGUUAAGAAGUUGACUUAGCUGCUGCACUUCCUAUUUAGCUGCUGUAAUUUUCUUUUUUCUGUUAUGUUUUUUAUUAAUUGACUUGUUCUACUGCAUUUUAGUCAUUAUUUUCAUUUUUCUAGCUAAGUUGUUAAACAUGGAGGCAUGUUCCAUGGUUGAGCUGAAAUAUAGGAAUUUCUGUUAUAUUUUGAGCUGUAUUUAAGCUCAUUUGCAGUUAAUAAAAAAAAUAAUACACUGAAAU